rnacentral:rRNA from 1 species
AUUGAACGCUGGCGGCAUGCCUAACACAUGCAAGUCGAACGGAGGGCUUCGGCCCUCAGUGGCGGACGGGUGAGUAACGCGUAGGGAUCUGCCCCGCAGUGGGGGACAACCUGGGGAAACUCAGGCUAAUACCGCAUACGCUCCAUGGAGGAAAGCGGGGGACCUUCGGGCCUCGCGCUGCAGGAUGAGCCUACGUCCGAUUAGCUGGUUGGUGGGGUAAAGGCCCACCAAGGCGACGAUCGGUAGCUGGUCUGAGAGGAUGAUCAGCCACACUGGGACUGAGACACGGCCCAGACUCCUACGGGAGGCAGCAGUGGGGAAUAUUGGACAAUGGGCGCAAGCCUGAUCCAGCAAUGCCGCGUGGGUGAAGACGGCCUGCGGGUUGUAAAGCCCUUUGGGUGGGGAAGAACGGCGGGCGGCGAACAGCGGCCUG